CCAGGCUCCACCCCUAAUCCCUCACGGCAUACCUCUCUGUCCCAUAAAAGGCCACCAUGGGCUCAAGCCCUGGGAAGGCAGGACGGUCCUCAGCCCAGGACCUGCCCCAGGUGGUUGGCCCUGCCCAGGGCUCCCACACCUCCAGCUGCCCAGGCUGAGCAGGCAUUUUUAUCGGAGAGAAGGGGAGUGGAAUGCCCAAGGCUGCACGGCUGGGGAGGCAGAGGACUGGCCUGUGAAGGGCGUGGGGCUGAGUCCCUGGAGAACCACCCCGAAUUUCUCUAGCUCUGUGCUUCCUGGACCACCAGCAGCACGCAGAUAUGUGCACCUGCCCGGCGCCUGGCCUCCUGAAUGGGACUCCUUGGCAUGCACGGUGCCUGGGGGAUUCCUCUGCCGAAUAGCUUGGAAGCCACUGCUCUGGAAGACCCAGGAAGGGGGGACUCCUGUGAAAACUGCUGAGGUCCUGCCAGUGUCUCCUGGGGAGGAAGUGGCAAGACGGAGGCUCCAAGUCAGCGAUCUUUCCCUCCACCACCUCCUGUCCUUCCUCCUGCCCCUUUCUGCUUUCACCUCAUCUUGUUGUUCCUACUGUUUUCAAGGUAAUGGGUUGGUAUGUUCUACUUGCCUUGUUUAUCCGCAAAGGUGGGUGGUAGAUUCAUGGGAAAUAAUUGGGAUAGAUAUUCUUACUUUAAAAUAAGCCUGUAAUCUCUGUUACGGGGGAUUAGACUAACUCAUAUUGUAAAAGGUGGAAAUUACACGGGGAUGGAUGUCAGCUCAUUCAAAGGGAAACUUAAGCCCAUCAGAGCUUCCACAGAUGGAUGGGCUGCCUGAAAAGGCAGUGAGUGCCCAGUCGUGGAAUGUGGGCAAAGAGAGGCUGGAAGUCAUUCGUUGCUGAAGAGGUGAUUGCAAAUUUAGGGAGGCAGGUGUUCAGGCAGAUGCUGUGUAAGAGGGGACCCUGAGAGUCUGCAGGGGGCAAAAGCGAGGAAAGAAACCAACCUAACAUGCAGGUGAGUGAACACAGGAGAGGAGGUCUCAGGAUUGGGGUCGGGCUUAGAAGCCUGGAUGGCCUCGGCUGGGGGGCAUUAUGUCAGCCCAGUGUCCCCACAUUUGGGGCAGGUGGUUGUCGCCAGGGCUGCUGCUCUUUUUGACUUUACUCCCAGCUCUUCUCUGCUCCCGUUGUAAGGUUUUCAUUUCUGUCUGCAUCGUCACUCUACCCCGACCCUGCCGGACACAGUGUAAGAUACCUCUACGUUUCUCCAGCCAGGAUCCAGGAAAAAGCAUAUCUGCUCAUUACCUUAUCACAGGUGCUACACAGGUAGAAUUUGACACCGGGAGGGACCUGAUAAUCCAAACCCUUCAUAAGCUCUCAGCUAGUCUGCACACAGAGCAGGACAGAGCCUCCGUUCCCUCAUCUGUGAUACAGGAACAAUAGACCCCAGCUCUUGGGAUUGGGUGAGGUUUUAAUUAGAUCUGUGGUCCUCAGACUUCAGCCUGCAUCAGCAUCACCUGGGGGGCUUUUGUUAAAAGCCAGAUUUCAGGAUCCCCUCUCCCCCAGAAUUUCUGAUUCAGUAGAAUUUGGAAGGAGCCUGAAAUGUGGCAUUUUGAACAAAUUCAAAGGUAAUACUGAUGCUCCUGGUUUGGGGACCAUACUUUGAGAAUCAUUCAACUAGACCAGUAGAUUCUCUAUCCUGGGACCACCAGCCCCUUAAAGCCAGGGACCAGCUCUAACUUAUUUCCAUUUCUGCUAAGGCCCAUGGUAGGUGCUCUCAGGAAGCGCUGUUGCACUGAAUGUAGAUGGAAGCCAAGCAGGCUCCUCCUCAGAGGCUCUUUCUCAAUGGCUGUCCCUGGGUUCUGGUUGCUGUGUCAACAGCUGGAGCAGCAGGCAGGCGAUAUGGGGAACGUAGUCACGCGGCUCCUUGGAAUAGUGAGGAGGGGGGCAGAGGGCCUGACCUAGCAGCACGUGGACAAGAAUGCGGAGGUAGGCAGGGAAGACGUGGCUUCCAAAACCUCCCAUUACAGAGCCACCCUCCCAUUGGCUUUGCAGCGGCCCCAAACCCAGGAAUAAUUUAAACUUUCGUUGCAUAACAGAGAA